GUGCUUAACACAUGCAAGUCGAACGAUGAAGCACCAGCUUGCUGGUGUGGAUUAGUGGCGAACGGGUGAGUAACACGUGAGCAACCUGCCCCGGACUUCGGGAUAACAGCUGGAAACAGUUGCUAAUACCGGAUAUGCACGAGAACCGCAUGGUUACUUGUGGGAAAGAUUUAUCGGUCCGGGAGGGGCUCGCGGCCUAUCAGCUUGUUGGUGAGGUAAUGGCUCACCAAGGCGUCGACGGGUAGCCGGCCUGAGAGGGUGACCGGCCACACUGGGACUGAGACACGGCCCAGACCCCUACGGGAGGCAGCAGUGGGGAAUAUUGCACAAUGGGCGCAAGCCUGAUGCAGCAACGCCGCGUGAGGGAUGACGGCCUUCGGGUUGUAAACCUCUUUUAGUAGGGAAGAAGCCUUCGGGUGACGGUACCUGCAGAAAAAGCACCGGCUAACUACGUGCCAGCAGCCGCGGUAAUACGUAGGGUGCAAGCGUUAUCCGGAAUUAUUGGGCGUAAAGAGCUCGUAGGCGGUUUGUCGCGUCUGCUGUGAAAACUGGAGGCUCAACUUCCAGCGUGCAGUGGGUACGGGCAGGCUAGAGUGCGGUAGGGGAGAUUGGAAUUCCUGGUGUAGCGGUGGAAUGCGCAGAUAUCAGGAGGAACACCGAUGGCGAAGGCAGAUCUCUGGGCCGUUACUGACGCUGAGGAGCGAAAGAGUGGGGAGCGAACAGGCUUAGAUACCCUGGUAGUCCACUCCGUAAACGUUGGGAACUAGUUGUGGGGGCCUUUCCACGGUCUCCGUGACGCAGCUAACGCAUUAAGUUCCCCGCCUGGGGAGUACGGCCGCAAGGCUAAAACUCAAAUGAAUUGACGG
rnacentral:rRNA from 1 species